rnacentral:rRNA from 1 species
AACGAACGCCGGCGGCAUGCUUAACACAUGCAAGUUGAACGCAGGAUAGGACUUCGGUUCUAUUGCUGAGUAGCAAACGGGUGAGUAACGCGUGGGAAUCUACCUUUUUGUGGGGGAUAACUGAGGGAAACUUCAGCUAAUACCGCAUAAGCUCUACGGAGGAAAGGCUUCGGCCGCAAGAAGAGGAGCCCGCGUCAGAUUAGGUAGUUGGUAGGGUAAAAGCCUACCAAGCCAAUGAUCUGUAGCUGGUCUGAGAGGAUGAUCAGCCACACUGGGACUGAGACACGGCCCAGACUCCUACGGGAGGCAGCAGUGGGGAAUAUUGGACAAUGGGGGAAACCCUGAUCCAGCAAUGCCGCGUGAAUGAAGAAGGCCUUAGGGUUGUAAAGUUCUUUCACCUGUGAAGAUUAUGACGGUAGCAGGAGAAGAAGCCCCGGCUAAUUCCGUGCCAGCAGCCGCGGUAA